UGAACGCUAGCGACAGGCUUAACACAUGCAAGUCGAGGGGCAUCGGGGAGUAGCAAUACUCUGCCGGCGACCGGCGCACGGGUGAGUAACGCGUAUGGAACCUGCCCUGUACAGGAGAAUAGCCCAUGGAAACGUGGAUUAAUGUCCCAUAUGACAUUCGGGAGGCAUCUUUCGGGUGUAAAAUUUUCGGAGGUACAGGAUGGCCAUGCGUCCUAUUAGAUAGUUGGCGGGGUAACGGCCCACCAAGUCGAUGAUAGGUAGGGGUUCUGAGAGGAAGGUCCCCCACAUUGGAACUGAGACACGGUCCAAACUCCUACGGGAGGCAGCAGUGAGGAAUAUUGGUCAAUGGGCGCGAGCCUGAACCAGCCAAGUCGCGUGAGGGAAGACUGCCCUAUGGGUUGUAAACCUCUUUUAUUCGGGAAGAAUAAGCCUUACGAGUAGGGUGAUGCCUGUACCGAAUGAAUAAGCAUCGGCUAACUCCGUGCCAGCAGCCGCGGUAAUACGGAGGAUGCGAGCGUUAUCCGGAUUUAUUGGGUUUAAAGGGUGCGUAGGCGGCCUGUUAAGUUAGUGGUUAAAUGUCGGGGCUAAACCCCGGAUUGCCAUUAAAACUGGCGGGCUCGAGUACAGACGAGGUAGGCGGAAUAAGUCAAGUAGCGGUGAAAUGCUUAGAUAUGACUUAGAACUCCGAUAGCGAAGGCAGCUUACCAGGCUGAGACUGACGCUGAAGCACGAGAGCGUGGGUAGCGAACAGGAUUAGAUACCCUGGUAGUCCACGCCGUAAACGAUGCUCACUGGUUCUUGGCGACAAACGGUCGGGGAUCAAGCGAAAGUAUUAAGUGAGCCACCUGGGGAGUACGUCGGCAACGAUGAAACUCAAAGGAAUUGACGGGGGCCCGCACAAGCGGAGGAACAUGUGGUUUAAUUCGAUGAUACGCGAGGAACCUUACCCGGGUUUAAAUGUUGAUGGACUUAAUUGGAAACAGUUAUUCUCUUCGGAGCCGUCAUCAAGGUGCUGCAUGGUUGUCGUCAGCUCGUGCCGUGAGGUGUCGGGUUAAGUCCCAUAACGAGCGCAACCCUUACCGUCAGUUGCCAUCAGGUAAAGCUGGGGACUCUGUCGGGACUGCCACCGUAAGGUGAGAGGAAGGCGGGGAUGACGUCAAAUCAGCACGGCCCUUACACCCGGGGCUACACACGUGUUACAAUGGCCGGUACAGAGGGCAGCUACCUGGAGACAGGAUGCGAAUCUCGAAAGCCGGUCGUAGUUCGGAUUGGAGUCUGUAACCCGACUCCAUGAAGUUGGAUUCGCUAGUAAUCGCGCAUCAGCCAUGGCGCGGUGAAUACGUUCCCGGGCCUUGUACACACCGCCCGUCAAGCCAUGGGAGCCGGGGGUGCCUGAAGUCCGUAACCGCGAGGGGCGGCCUAGGGCAAAACUGGUAACUGGGGCUAA
rnacentral:rRNA from 1 species